GCUCCCGUAGCUCAGCCUGGAUAGAGCGUCUGCCUUCUAAGCAGAAAGUCGCAGGUUCAAAUCCUGUCGGGAGCG
rnacentral:tRNA from 1 species